rnacentral:rRNA from 1 species
UACGAGGGGGGCGAGCGUUGUUCGGAAUUAUUGGGCGUAAAGGGCGCGUAGGCGGUGUGGCAAGUCAGGUGUGAAACCUCCAGGCUUAACUUGGAGCUUGCAUCUGAAACUGCCGUGCUAGAGUGCGGGAGAGGAGAGUGGAAUUCCUGGUGUAGCGGUGAAAUGCGUAGAUAUCAGGAGGAACACCUGUGGUGUAGACAGCUUACUGGACCAUUUCUGACGCUGAGACACGAAAGCGUGGGUAGCAAACAGG